AAAUAUUUUGUCACGCAAGGUUUUUAACUUUUUAUUUUAUUACUUCUUUAAUAUUAAUUUAAUUGUAUUAAUUUUUUUGAAUUUUGACUUUUUAAUUUAAUUUAACUGUAUGAUUUUUUUAAUUACUUUAAUUUAAAUUGACAUAUUCAAAAUAAAAUUACGUAUGAAAAAUAGUGAUCAAAUUAUCCAAUAAAUAAAUAAAUAUAUAAUAUUCAAAAGAAUAAUGCUACUCUUACCAUAUUUGUAUACCAUAUCUUUAUACCAUCUUAUGUGACAGCUGAGAUGGACAGCCACAUCAAUUAAAAUUAUUAAAUAUCUUCUUUUCUUUUAUGAUUUAUUCCAGUAUUUGUUUUUCUAAUUGCCUUAAUUAAAAUCACUUCAUUGAUUUAAUUGAUGUGGCAUAUAAUAUGGACACAUUAUGUGGUAUAGAAAUGUGGGAUAAAAAUGUGGUAAGUGUAGCAUUACUCUAUUCAAAAUGUACCCAUAAAUUAACAAAGUACAAUUAUAAAAUUCUAAUACAAGCCUAUUGUGGUGGUAGUGGCGGAGGAUAUGUUUCAAUAGGGUCCUAAUCCUCAACUUUAGCGGUCAAAGUCUCGACGAUUCCCUACAAAAAAAUAAAUAUGGUCAAGUAACAAAAAAGAAAAAAAAAAUUGGCAUAAUCUCCCCUAAAAUUGUUAUACCACAAAUCCAACCCAAACUCCAAUCCUCACCCUAUACUCAACCCCAAACCCUACACAAACUCAAAACUAACUCCAAAAACACAUAUUAAUGAAAAAAAAAAAAAAUUUGGAGAGAAUAUACCUUUUGGCAAGAUUGAGAGUGAGUGAGAAUGAGAGAGAGAAGUGAAUGUGAGAGAGAGAGAGAGAGAUGAGAGAGUGAGUGAGAGUGGGAGAUAGUGAAGAGAAAGAUGAGAGAUUAAGUGAGAAGAGUGAGUGUGAGAGAAAGGGUGGGAUUUGGGGAGAGGGAAAGAGAGAGAGAGGUAAGAGUAGAGAAAGACAUUGAGAAAAUGGUGGAGAAGUUAUUUUGGUUUUAAAAACCGUAUCACUUUGCGCGAUGAAAAAUAUAUAUUGGUUGCACAAAGUUUUUCGCGACGAAAAAUAUUGGUCGCGCAAAGUUUUGUGUGGUGAAAAAAAUUGGUCGCUCAAAGUCUAAAAAAUUUUAUUUUUAAAAUUUUCCCACGUCCCAUUUUUGGUGCCCGCCCAAAUUUUUAAAGUUUUGCACGACGAAAAAUAUUCGAAUAUUGGUCGUACAAAGUUUUGCAUGACGAAAAGUAUUGGUCGCGCAAAGUCUUAAAUAAAAUAAAAUAAAAAAAAUCCCGCAUCCCAUUGUUUGUACCCGCCCAAAUUUUUAGAGUCUUGCGCGACAAAUUGUUGUCGUGCAAACUUUUGAGAGACGAAAAAUUGGUUCGUAGC
rnacentral:lncRNA from 1 species